rnacentral:rRNA from 1 species
CUGUAGCCUGAUAUUGAAAUUCGGCACAGCUUGUACAGGAUAGGUAGGAGCCUUUGAAACGUGAGCGCUAGCUUACGUGGAGGCGCUGGUGGGAUACUACCCUAGCUGUGUUGGCUUUCUAACCCGCACCACUUAUCGUGGUGGGAGACAGUGUCAGGCGGGCAGUUUGACUGGGGCGGUCGCCUCCUAAAAGGUAACGGAGGCGCUCAAAGGUUCCCUCAGAAUGGUUGGAAAUCAUUCAUAGAGUGUAAAGGCAUAAGGGAGCUUGACUGCGAGACCUACAAGUCGAGCAGGGUCGAAAGACGGACUUAGUGAUCCGGUGGUUCCGCAUGGAAGGGCCAUCGCU